UGAACGCUGGCGGCAGGCCUAACACAUGCAAGUCGAGCGGUAGCACAGAGAGCUUGCUCUCGGGUGACGAGCGGCGGACGGGUGAGUAAUGUCUGGGAAACUGCCUGAUGGAGGGGGAUAACUACUGGAAACGGUAGCUAAUACCGCAUAACGUCGCAAGACCAAAGAGGGGGACCUUCGGGCCUCUUGCCAUCAGAUGUGCCCAGAUGGGAUUAGCUAGUAGGUGGGGUAACGGCUCACCUAGGCGACGAUCCCUAGCUGGUCUGAGAGGAUGACCAGCCACACUGGAACUGAGACACGGUCCAGACUCCUACGGGAGGCAGCAGUGGGGAAUAUUGCACAAUGGGCGCAAGCCUGAUGCAGCCAUGCCGCGUGUAUGAAGAAGGCCUUCGGGUUGUAAAGUACUUUCAGCGAGGAGGAAGGCAUUGUGGUUAAUAACCACAGUGAUUGACGUUACUCGCAGAAGAAGCACCGGCUAAC
rnacentral:rRNA from 1 species